CUCUUCCUACGGGGCGCAGCAGUGGGGAAUAUUGCACAAUGGGGGAAACCCUGAUGCAGCGACGCCGCGUGAGUGAAGAAGUAUCUCGGUAUGUAAAGCUCUAUCAGCAGGAAAGAUAAUGACGGUACCUGACUAAGAAGCCCCGGCUAACUACGUGCCAGCAGCCGCGGUAAUACGUAGGGGGCGAGCGUUAUCCGGAUUUACUGGGUGUAAAGGGAGCGUAGACGGCCAUGCAAGCUCGGUGUGAAAGGUGCGGGCACAACCCACAGACUGCACUGAG
rnacentral:rRNA from 1 species